rnacentral:misc_RNA from 1 species
GCUGAUUUACAAUUCUUGAGGGAUCAAGUCACAAUAACACAGGUCACUAUUGCUCGAGUUUACAAUUGGGAUGUUCACCAGCGUAGGAUGCGACAAGCUUCCAGUACUUCUACAGAUUCAUGAAACAAAGGUCAAAUGCAGCCCAGAUUCAGAGGUGACUAUAUAUUCUUGUUGAGAAUGUGGUUCUCAUUUCAUAUUGUUUAAUUUAGGUGAAUGGAUUGUCUUUGUAUUCUAAGUGAUACAAAUUUUGGUUCAUGGGUUUCCUGCACUUCUUGUUUAAAAUUCUGGAUGAAGCUUAUUAUAUUUUUCGGACCAAUUUUUGUACAUCAUAGGACUUCUCUUGCUGCUUAAGCCGAGAAGUCCUAUGACAUACAAAAAUUGGUCCGAAAAAUAUAAUAAGCU